GGGUAUAGCUCAGUUGGUAGAGCACCGGUCUCCAAAACCGGGUGUCGUGAGUUCAAAUCUUACUGCCC
rnacentral:tRNA from 1 species